CCUACGGGAGGCAGCAGUGAGGAAUAUUGGUCAAUGGACGAGAGUCUGAACCAGCCAAGUAGCGUGAAGGAUGACUGCCCUAUGGGUUGUAAACUUCUUUUAUAUGGGAAUAAAAUGUUCCACGUGUGGGAUUUUGUAUGUACCAUAUGAAUAAGGAUCGGCUAACUCCGUGCCAGCAGCCGCGGUAAUACGGAGGAUCCGAGCGUUAUCCGGAUUUAUUGGGUUUAAAGGGAGCGUAGGUGGAUUGGUAAGUCAGUUGUGAAAGUUUGCGGCUCAACCGGAAAAUUGCAGUUGAAACUGGCAGUCUUGAGUACACUGGAGGUAGGCGGAAUUCGUGGUGUAGCGGUGAAAUGCUUAGAUAUCACGAAGAACUCCGAUUGCGAAGGCAGCUCACUGGACUGCAACUGACACUGAGGCUCGAAAGUGUGGGUAUCGAACAGGAUUAGAUACCCUAGUAGGC
rnacentral:rRNA from 1 species